CCCUUAGAUGUUCUGGGCCGCACGCGCGCUACACUGACGAUGGCAACGAGUUUUUCCUUCGCCGAAAGGUGUGGGUAAUCUUUUGAAACAUCGUCGUGCUGGGGAUAGAUCAUUGCAAUUUUUGAUCUUGAACGAGGAAUUCCUAGUAAGCGCGAGUCAUCAGCUCGCGUUGAUUACGUCCCUGCCCGUUGUACACACCGCCCGUCGCUACUACCGAUUGAAUGGUUUAGUGAGGACUCCUGAUUGGCGCCGCCGCCCCGGCAACGGAGCAGCGGACUGCCGAAAAGUUGUUCAAACUUGAUCAUUUAGAGGAAGUAAAAGUCGUAACA
rnacentral:rRNA from 1 species